rnacentral:tRNA from 1 species
GGGCUCGUGGUCUAGGGGUUAUGAUGUCUGCUUCACGAGCAGGAGGUCGAGGGUUCGAAUCCCUCCGAGCCCA